GUUGUCGUGGCCGAGUGGUUAAGGCGAUGGACGAGAAAUCCAUUGGGGUCUCCCCACGGAGGUUCGGAUCCUGCUGACAACG